rnacentral:lncRNA from 1 species
AGAUCUUUCCCACAACUCCUCAUUGUGAAAUAGGGAGCGCCUUCCUCCUUUUAAAUAUAAACAUACAUCUAAUGUGCCCCUUGUUGCUACAGACAUCUGUUAUAUGUGUAGGAGGCAUUGUCUUGCUCACCAAUUUGUCUUCCCAUCUGUACAUGUUUGCAUAGUGAUCUGACAUUUGCAGUGGCUUCUUAGGGUCAAUAGGAAGCAGGGUCUCUCUUGGUGUCGCACAUUGUGGUUUAAGUGCCCAAAUUGUAUCUGACUUUUCUCUCCAUGCCUUAGAUUUGUUCCGUUCCUUGGCUCAAGCUUGCUAGAUUGGAAAUGAUGGAAAGCUCAGGUUUGUCAAUAUUUCUGGGCAAUAAUUGUGAUUUUAGCGAAGUUACUCUACAAUGCUAUGAAUCAUGAGCACUUCCUCUAGCAAUUGUCAAUAUCCAGGCCACAGACACAAGAUAGUCACUUAUAUUCCAGUAUCUUAUUUAUGCCCACAAAGGUCUUAACUGGAAACAACUACAACAAUGCAUGCAAGGGAAGGUUGCUAUUUUUUUUAGAAAUAAUGACCCAUUUCAAAAGUUUACAGUUUCAAUUAUUUUUCUACAGGUUUAUAUAUGUGUAUUUUCAGCUGCAUUUGAAGCACAUGUAGACCUGGGAAAGCAAACGCCCAGUCUAGAGGUCUCCAUGUUCUGUGUGGAGCCCAUCCUUGAAAACUGGAGUGAAAUACGUGGCCCAUACUUCACCAAUGCCGCGAUGGGUAGCUUAGAGUCUUCAGUCUAUUUUGG